UGGGGAAUAUUGCACAAUGGGCGCAAGCCUGAUGCAGCCAUGCCGCGUGUAUGAAGAAGGCCUUCGGGUUGUAAAGUACUUUCAGCGGGGAGGAAGGGAGUAAAGUUAAUACCUUUGCUCAUUGACGUUACCCGCAGAAGAAGCACCGGCUAACUCCGUGCCAGCAGCCGCGGUAAUACGGAGGGUGCAAGCGUUAAUCGGAAUUACUGGGCGUAAAGCGCACGCAGGCGGUUUGUUAAGUCAGAUGUGAAAUCCCCGGGCUCAACCUGGGAACUGCAUCUGAUACUGGCAAGCUUGAGUCUCGUAGAGGGGGGUAGAAUUCCAGGUGUAGCGGUGAAAUGCGUAGAGAUCUGGAGGAAUACCGGUGGCGAAGGCGGCCCCCUGGACGAAGACUGACGCUCCGGUGCGAAAGCGUGGGGAGCAAACAGG
rnacentral:rRNA from 1 species